UGGGGAAUAUUGCGCAAUGGGGGGAACCCUGACGCAGCCAUGCCGCGUGAAUGAAGAAGGCCUUAGGGUUGUAAAGUUCUUUCGGUAUUGAGGAAGGUUGAUGUGUUAAUAGCACAUCAAAUUGACGUUAAAUACAGAAGAAGCACCGGCUAACUCCGUGCCAGCAGCCGCGGUAAUACGGAGGGUGCGAGCGUUAAUCGGAAUAACUGGGCGUAAAGGGCACGCAGGCGGUUAUUUAAGUGAGGUGUGAAAGCCCCGGGCUUAACCUGGGAAUUGCAUUUCAGACUGGGUAACUAGAGUACUUUAGGGAGGGGUAGAAUUCCACGUGUAGCGGUGAAAUGCGUAGAGAUGUGGAGGAAUACCGAAGGCGAAGGCAGCCCCUUGGGAAUGUACUGACGCUCAUGUGCGAAAGCGUGGGGAGCAGACAGGAUUAGAUACCCUGGUAGUCCACGCUGUAAACGCUGUCGAUUUGGGGGUUGGGGUUUAACUCUGGCGCCCGUAGCUAACGUGAUAAAUCGACCGCCUGGGGAGUACGGCCGCAAGGUUA
rnacentral:rRNA from 1 species